rnacentral:rRNA from 1 species
CAGCACCUCAAGUGGUCAGGAUGAUUAUUGGGCCUAAAGCAUCCGUAGCCGGCGCUGUAAGUUUUCGGUUAAAUCUGUACGCUCAACGUACAGGCUGCCGGGAAUACUGCAGCGCUAGGGAGUGGGAGAGGUAGACGGUACUCGGUAGGAAGGGGUAAAAUCCUUUGAUCUAUUGAUGACCACCUGUGGCGAAGGCGGUCUACCAGAACACGUCCGACUGUGAGGGAUGAAAGCUGGGGGAGCAAACCGGAUUAGAUACCCGAGUAGUCC